AGAGUUUGAUCCUGGCUCAGGAUUAACGCUAGCGGCAGGCCUAAUACAUGCAAGUCGAGGGGCAGCAUUGUCUUCGGACAGAUGGCGACCGGCGAACGGGUGCGUAACACGUAUGCAACCUACCUUUUACUGGAGCAUAGCCCGAAGAAAUUCGGAUUAAUACUCCAUAAUACAGGGGGCCCACAUGGGUCUAUUUGUUAAAGCUCUUUUGCGGUAGAAGAUGGGCAUGCGGCCCAUUAGCUUGUUGGUAAGGUAACGGCUUACCAAGGCUACGAUGGGUAGGGGGUCUGAGAGGACGGCCCCCCACAUUGGUACUGAGAUACGGACCAGACUCCUACGGGAGGCAGCAGUGGGGAAUCUUGGACAAUGGGCGCAAGCCUGAUCCAGCCAUGCCGCGUGAGUGAAGAAGGCCUUCGGGUUGUAAAGCUCUUUCAGCGGAGACGAUGAUGACGGUAUCCGCAGAAGAAGCCCCGGCUAACUUCGUGCCAGCAGCCGCGGUAAUACGAAGGGUGCGAGCGUUAAUCGGAAUUACUGGGCGUAAAGCGUGCGUAGGCGGCCGUGCAAGUCAGAUGUGAAAGCCCCGGGCUUAACCUGGGAAUUGCGUUUGAAACUGCGGGGCUGGAGUUUGUCAGGGGAAGAUAGAAUUUCGUGUGUAGCGGUGAAAUGCGUAGAUAUACGAAAGAAUACUUAUAGCGAAGGCGUUCUUCUGGGGCAAUACUGACGCUGAGUCACCAAAGCGUGGGGAGCAAACAGGAUUAGAUACCCUGGUAGUCCACGCCCUAAACGAUGUCCGCUAGCUAUUGGGCGCAGGCCCAGUGGCGAAGCUAACGCGUUAAGCGGACCGCCUGGGGAGUACGGU
rnacentral:rRNA from 1 species